rnacentral:rRNA from 1 species
CCUACGGGAGGCAGCAGUGAGGAAUAUUGGUCAAUGGACGAGAGUCUGAACCAGCCAAGUAGCGUGAAGGAUGACUGCCCUAUGGGUUGUAAACUUCUUUUAUAAAGGAAUAAAACGAGGCACGUGUGCCUUUUUGCAUGUACUUUAUGAAUAAGGAUCGGCUAACUCCGUGCCAGCCGCCGCGGUAAUACGGAGGAUCCGAGCGUUAUCCGGAUUUAUUGGGUUUAAAGGGAGCGUAGAUGGGUUGUUAAGUCAGUUGUGAAAGUUUGCGGCUCAACCGUAGAAUUGCAAUUGAUACUGGCAGUCUUGAGUACAGUUGAGGUAGGCGGAAUUCGUGGUGUAGCGGUGAAAUGCUUAGAUAUCACGAAGAACCCCGAUUGCGAAGGCAGCUUACUAAGCUGUGACUGACAUUGAUGCUCGAAAGUGUGGGUAUCAAACAGGAUUAGAUACCCGAGUAGUC